rnacentral:rRNA from 1 species
GCAAGCUUAACACAUGCAAGUCGAACGGAUUAUCUUUUAUAGCUUGCUAUGGAGGAUAAUUAGUGGCAGACGGGUGAGUAAUGCAUAGGAAUCUACCUAGUAGUAUGGGAUAGCCACUAGAAAUGGUGGGUAAUACUGUAUAAUCCCUGCGGGGGAAAGAUUUAUCGCUAUUAGAUGAGCCUAUGUUAGAUUAGCUAGUUGGUAGGGUAAAGGCCUACCAAGGCGAUGAUCUAUAGCUGGUCUGAGAGGAUGAUCAGCCAGACUGGAACUGAGAUACGGUCCAGACUCCUACGGGAGGCAGCAGUGGGGAAUAUUGGACAAUGGGCGCAAGCCUGAUCCAGCUAUGCCGCGUGAGUGAGGAAGGCCUUAGCGUUGUAAAACUCUUUCAGUAGGGAAGAUAAUGACGGUACCUACAGAAGAAGUCCCGGCAAACUCCGUGCCAGCAGCCGCGGUAAUACGGAGGGGGCAAGCGUUGUUCGGAAUUAUUGGGCGUAAAGGGCAUGUAGGCGGUUCGGUAAGUUAAAGGUGAAAUGCCAGGGCUUAAC